CAGUAGCGUAUACUAAUGUUGCUGCAGUUAAAAGCUCGUAGUUGGAUUUCUGGUUGAUAAUUGUGGUCCGUCUAGUCUAACUAGUAUGAGUAUCGCUUAUUAUCUGCCAUCCUAUCAGGGUUCUAGGGUCUCGGCUCUAGGGUUCUGGUUCAUUUACUUUGAAAAAUUAGAGUGUUCAAAGCAGGCCAACGCAUUGAAUACAUUAGCAUGGAAUAAUGGAAUAGGACUUUGGUCUUAUUUUGUUGGUUUCUAAGGCCGAGGUAAUGAUUAAUAGGGAUAGUUGGGGGCGUUUAUAUUCCGUUGUCAGAGGUGAAAUUCUUGGAUUUACGGAAGAUAAACUACUGCGAAAGCAUUCGCCAAGGAUGUUUUCAUUAAUCAAGAACGAAAGUUAGGGGAUCGAAGAUGAUUAGAUACCAU
rnacentral:rRNA from 1 species